AUGCGUGCAGGCAUAUUUGUCUUUCCGUUGGCAGUGCACAGGCACUGUAGGUGGCAUAUUAUUAAGAAGGCCGAGGAGACGCUAGGACCAUUCUUCACUGACCGUCCAGAGCUACACAAGGCAUUCGAGUUGUGCGUGGACCACAGCUUGACGGUGGAGGAGUUUGAACGGAGCUGGGCAUCUAUGAUUGAAACACACCAAGUCCAAGACCGCAAGACACUUACUAGCCUGUGGGAGAGGCAAAUGUACUAUGUGCCGGCCUACUUCAUGCAGCGCUUCUUUCCAUUUCUGCAGACUACACAGCGCAGCGAGGGGUUCAAUGCUGUUUUGAAGCGGUACGUGAGCUCUCGCAACUCAUUGCUGCAGUUUUCCAAGCAGUACACAGCUUUGCAACAGAAAAUACUGGGAUCUGAGCUACAACAAGAAGCAAACACCGCACUCAAGUAG
rnacentral:rRNA from 1 species